CGUGCCUAAUACAUGCAGUAGAACGCUGAAGGAGGAGCUUGCUUCUCUGGAUGAGUUGCGAACGGGUGAGUAACGCGUAGGUAACCUGCCUGGUAGCGGGGGAUAACUAUUGGAAACGAUAGCUAAUACCGCAUAAGAGUAGAUGUUGCAUGACAUUUGCUUAAAAGGUGCAAUUGCAUCACUACCAGAUGGACCUGCGUUGUAUUAGCUAGUUGGUGGGGUAACGGCUCACCGAGGCGACGAUACAUAGCCGACCUGAGAGGGUGAUCGGCCACACUGGGACUGAGACACGGCCCAGACUCCUACGGGAGGCAGCAGUAGGGAAUCUUCGGCAAUGGACGGAAGUCUGACCGAGCAACGCCGCGUGAGUGAAGAAGGUUUUCGGAUCGUAAAGCUCUGUUGUAAGAGAAGAACGAGUGUGAGAGUGGAAAGUUCACACUGUGACGGUAUCUUACCAGAAAGGGACGGCUAACUACGUGCCAGCAGCCGCGGUAAU
rnacentral:rRNA from 1 species